GUAUAGAGGAUAGCCUCCAUCUUACCAUGUACUGGAGGGGGGUAUAGAGGAUAGUCCUCCAUCUACCAUGUACUGGAGGGGUUAUAGAGGAUAGUCCUCCACCUUACCAUGUACUGGAGGAGGUAUUUAGGAUAGGCCUCCAUCUUCCAUGUACUGGAGGGGUUAUAGAGGAUGUCCUCCAUCUUACCAUGUACUGGAGGGGGGUAUAGAGGAUAGUCCUCCAUCUUACCAUGUACUGGAGGGGGUUA
rnacentral:lncRNA from 1 species